GUCCAGGGGCGGGAAUCGAACCCACACCCUUCUGCUUACCGGGCAGGUGCCUUCUAUACUCGGCUACCCUGGA
rnacentral:tRNA from 1 species